rnacentral:rRNA from 1 species
AACGAACGCUGGCGGCAGGCCUAACACAUGCAAGUCGAACGCUCCGCAAGGGAGUGGCGCACGGGUGAGUAACACGUGGGAACCUACCUUCUGGUACGGAACAACCAAGGGAAACUUUGGCUAAGACCGUAUACGACCUCCGGGUGAAAGAUUGAUCGCCGGAAGAGGGGCCCGCGUCCGAUUAGGUAGUUGGUGAGGUAACGGCUCACCAAGCCUUCGAUCGGUAGCUGGUCUGAGAGGAUGACCAGCCACACUGGGACUGAGACACGGCCCACGACUCCUACGGGAGGCAGCAGUGGGGAAUAUUGGACAAUGGGCGCAAGCCUGAUCCAGCCAUGCCGCGUGAGUGAUGAAGG